rnacentral:rRNA from 1 species
UACGUAGGCAGCAAGCGUUGUUCGGAGUUACUGGGCGUAAAGGGUGUGUAGGCGGUUCUUUUAAGUUUGCUGUGAAAUCUCCCGGCUUAACCGGGAGGGUGCGGUGAAUACUGAGGGACUAGAGUACGGGAGAGGAAAGGUGGAAUUCCUGGUGUAGCGGUGAAAUGCGUAGAUAUCAGGAGGAACACCGGUGGUGUAGACGGCUUUCUGGACCGUAACUGACGCUGAGACACGAAAGCGUGGGUAGCAAACAGG